AGUGAACGCUGGCGGUAGGCCUAACACAUGCAAGUCGAACGGCAGCACAGUAAGAGCUUGCUCUUACGGGUGGCGAGUGGCGGACGGGUGAGGAAUACAUCGGAAUCUACUUUUUCGUGGGGGAUAACGUAGGGAAACUUACGCUAAUACCGCAUACGACCUACGGGUGAAAGCAGGGGAUCUUCGGACCUUGCGCGAUUGAAUGAGCCGAUGUCGGAUUAGCUAGUUGGCGGGGUAAAGGCCCACCAAGGCGACGAUCCGUAGCUGGUCUGAGAGGAUGAUCAGCCACACUGGAACUGAGACACGGUCCAGACUCCUACGGGAGGCAGCAGUGGGGAAUAUUGGACAAUGGGCGAAAGCCUGAUCCAGCCAUACCGCGUGGGGGAAGAAGGCCUUCGGGUUGUAAAGCCCUUUUGUUGUGAAAGAAAAGCAGCAGGUUAAUACCCCGCUGUUCUGACGGUAACCAAAGAAUAAGCACCGGCUAACUUCGUGC
rnacentral:rRNA from 1 species